rnacentral:tRNA from 1 species
AAGGCCUUAUCUUAAUUAAAGUAUCUGGGUUGCAUUCAGGUGAUGUGGACUAGCGGUUCACAGGUCUUA